AUUGAACGCUGGCGGCAGGCCUUACACAUGCAAGUCGAGGGCAGCGGCGGACGGGUGAGUAAUGUCUGGGAAACUGCCUGAUGGCGGGGGAUAACUACUGGAAACGGGCGCUAAUACCGCAUACUAUUAGAUGAGCCUAGGUCGGAUUAGCUAGUUGGUGGGGUAAAGGCCUACCAAGGCGACGAUCCGUAACUGGUCUGAGAGGAUGAUCAGGCACACUGGAACUGAGACACGGUCCAGACUCCUACGGGAGGCAGCAGUGGGGAAUAUUGGACAAUGGGGGAAAGCCUGAUCCAGCCAUGCCGCGUGUAUGAAGAAGGUCUUCGGAUUGUAAAGCACUUUAAGUAGGGAGGCGUUACCCGCAGAAGAAGCACCGGCUAACUCCGUGCCAGCAGCCGCGGUAAUAC
rnacentral:rRNA from 1 species